rnacentral:rRNA from 1 species
ACACGACUCUCGGCAACGGAUAUCUCGGCUCUCGCAUCGAUGAAGAACGUAGCGAAAUGCGAUACCUGGUGUGAAUUGCAGAAUCCCGCGAACCAUCGAGUCUUUGAACGCAAGUUGCGCCCGAGGCCUUUUGGCCGAGGGCACGCCUGCCUGGGCGUCACGC